rnacentral:rRNA from 1 species
UGAACGCUAGCUACAGGCUUAACACAUGCAAGUCGAGGGGCAGCAUGGUCUUAGCUUGCUAAGGCCGAUGGCGACCGGCGCACGGGUGAGUAACGCGUAUCCAACCUGCCUUACACUCUUGGACAGCCUUCUGAAAGGGAGAUUAAUACAAGAUGUUAUCAUGAGUAAGCAUUUUCGCAUGAUUAAAGGUUUACCGGUGUAAGAUGGGGAUGCGUUCCAUUAGAUAGUAGGCGGGGUAACGGCCCACCUAGUCUUCGAUGGAUAGGGGUUCUGAGAGGAAGGUCCCCCACAUUGGAACUGAGACACGGUCCAAACUCCUACGGGAGGCAGCAGUGAGGAAUAUUGGUCAAUGGACGAGAGUCUGAACCAGCCAAGUAGCGUGAAGGAUGAAGGUUCUAUGGAUUGUAAACUUCUUUUAUACGGGAAUAAACGGAUCCACGUGUGGAUUUUUGCAUGUACCGUAUGAAUAAGGAUCGGCUAACUCCGUGCCUGCAGCCGCGGUAAUACGGAGGAUCCGAGCGUUAUCCGGAUUUAUUGGGUUUAAAGGGAGCGUAGAUGGGUUGUUAAGUCAGUUGUGAAAGUUUGCGGCUCAACCGUAAAAUUGCAAUUGAUACUGGCAGUCUUGAGUACAGUUGAGGUAGGCGGAAUUCGUGGUGUAGCGGUGAAAUGCUCAGAUAUCACGAAGAACUCCGAUUGCGAAGGCAGCUUACUAACCUGUAACUGACAUUGAUGCUCGAAAGUGUGGGUAUCAAACAGGAUUAGAUACCCUGGUAGUCCACACGGUAAACGAUGAAUACUCGCUGUAGGCGAUAUACAGUCUGCGGCCAAGCGAAAGCAUUAAGUAUUCCACCUGGGGAGUACGCCGGCAACGGUGAAACUCAAAGGAAUUGACGGGGGCCCGCACAAGCGGAGGAACAUGUGGUUUAAUUCGAUGAUACGCGAGGAACCUUACCCGGGCUUAAAUUGCAACCGAAUAUGGCGGAAACGCUAUAGCUAGCAAUAGCGGUUGUGAAGGUGCUGCAUGGUUGUCGUCAGCUCGUGCCGUGAGGUGUCGGCUUAAGUGCCAUAACGAGCGCAACCCUUGCCGAUAGUUACUAACAGGUUAUGCUGAGGACUCUGUCGGGACUGCCAUCGUAAGAUGUGAGGAAGGUGGGGAUGACGUCAAAUCAGCACGGCCCUUACGUCCGGGGCUACACACGUGUUACAAUGGGGGGUACAGAGGGCUGCUACCACGCAAGUGGAUGCCAAUCCCAAAAACCUCUCUCAGUUCGGAUUGAAGUCUGCAACCCGACUUCAUGAAGCUGGAUUCGCUAGUAAUCGCGCAUCAGCCACGGCGCGGUGAAUACGUUCCCGGGCCUUGUACACACCGCCCGUCAAGCCAUGGGAGCCGGGGGUACCUGAAGUGCGUAACCGCAAGGAGCGCCCUAGGGUAAAACUGGUGACUGGGGCUAAG